GGUAGCUUGCUACUGAUAUAUGAGAGCAGCGCACUGGUGAGUAACACGUGGGAACAUACCUUUUGUGGGGGACAACAGUUGGAAACGACUGCUAAUACCGCAUAAGCCCUGAGGGGGAAAGAUUUAUUGCCGAAAGAUUGGCCAGCGGAAGAUUAGGUAGUAGGUGGGGUAACGGCCUACCUAGCCAACGAUCUAUAGCUGGUCUGAGAGGACGAUCAGCCACAUUGGGACUGAGACACGGCCCAGACUCCUACGGGAGGCAGCAGUGAGGAAUAUUGGGCAAUGGAGGCAACUCUGACCCAAGCCAUGCCGCGUGAGUGAAGAAGGUUUUCGGAUUGUAAAGCUCUUUCGGACGUGAAGAUGAUGACGGUAGCGUCUAAAGAAGCCCCGGCUAACUUCGUGCCAGCAGCCGC
rnacentral:rRNA from 1 species